AGUGGGGUGCAGGAAGUGAUGGAGGUAGGACAGGAGGAGGGGGAGUGGCUGAUGGUGAAUGUGUUUGGCAUGGUGGAAAGUUUGUGGAGAAACUGGAGGGUUCUACACGGCAUCCUGCUUGGAUCAGAUGUGUGGUGACAUGUUAAGUUACGGCAGUUGGAAGGAAAAGACCCCGAGCACUUAUUAAUACAAAGGAAUUAGCCGGGAAAGUACCAGUUUUCUCCUUCUCCAAGCCUCCCACCAGUUUGGCCAUCUGCUCUCUGUACUCUGAUGAUCCUGGUGCUCAUUCAGCAGUCCACACAAGCAACUGUGCAUUAACUAUGAGCUGUGCACAGACGGGCGCCCCCAUCUGCUGCCAAACCUGCCCCCCCACAGGAGGACACACCACUGCGCCCGGCGUCAGACUGGCACGGGACAGCUUCAGCUCAUUGCACACCAGCGCCUCCCGCUGGUCGGGUCGGGAACGCCCGGCUCACCUGCUUUGAAGCAGCGCAGAGCAGAAAACCGACUGUGUUCGUCUUGUGAAAAAUACUGAGGCUGUCGUUGUGAUGCGAAUACUUUCAUACAUCCAAUAUAACGGCUCACACAGACCGUGACAGCAGACAGAAAUAUCCCCCUUUUAGCACUUCUCUGGGGGGGGCUUCAGGUCGCCCCAGCUGUGCAGCUGAUGCGUUUCAGUAAAAACCGUUUCAUUCCGGCACGUUCUCUCUGUGUGCCCUCCUGUUGCGCCUCCCUGCUCGCGCCUGCAUUGUUCCGCGGCUGUCACUCAAACGCCCGCGCACGAUCGUGGCCGCCGCCGCCGCCAUCCUCUCCCAGCGCCCGCGUCGCCGCCGCCAUCCUCUCCCAGCGCCCGCGUCGCCGCCAUCCUCUCCCAGCGCCCGCGUCGCCAUGCCGCAGGGUUAGCGGCUCUCAGACCCCCGCUCGCAACAGCCCCCCCCCCCCCCCCCCCACACACGCUUAACCAGACCUGCGGAGCGACGGCUUUCAUGCGCCGCGAUCCCGGAGCGGCUUCCGGAAUCAUCUUAAAUUGGAAUGAUUCGUUCCGGCGGACCUCGUCACGACCACGAGACCUGGCGCAGCACGGAGGAGCGCCAGAGAUUUUAACUGAGCGCUGCUUUUUUUCCUCCUCUGUUCAUUUUUCUGUAUAUAUUUCUGUAUAUAUUUCUGUGUAUUAUCAUCUGUUUUUCUCUGCACUUUUGUAGUCAGGAUUCUUUUACUCGCUGAGUAAAUAAAGAAUAAAUAGAAAUGA